rnacentral:lncRNA from 1 species
GCCCGCAGGUUCCAGCCCCGACCCGGGCGCGCGGGGCCGACUAGGGUCGGGUCCAGUGUGCGGUGGUCGCUCCGCUCCGGGCCGCUCCGCUCUGGGCGUCAGGGCGCGGGGAGCUGCCCCGGGGUUCUGUCCACCGGGGAGGAAAGCCACGAGCACUGAGCGCCUCCUGAGAGCCAGCCCUGACGUGAACUCAUUUUAUCUGCCACGACCCAGAAGCAUGAGUUCUUCUGUUUCUUCUGCGUGGGUUGACCAUGGGCAUCAGGCAUCAGAGAUACAACUCUGGAUCUUGUCCAUCCAUUGCUGGGCACUCUGUCCAUCCUGGGCGCAGAAGUUAUACACACGUUUGCUGGUCUUGAGCUACAAAACCAAAUGACAGUGAACCAGAGAUGAAGGGCAGGGCUGUUUUAUGGAUUUGGGUAAGUGGUAAAUCAGUUCCUGUGACCUUUCUUUUCCAUACUGCCCCAGAACGUCUGUAUGAAUUUUUCUUCCUCAACUACCAUACUGUUAUUGCCUUUACUUUUGUGGUCUCUAGAGUCAUAGGGGAUGUUGAUAGAAGGGUACUGGCAGGAAAGGGAGACACACUGGGAGCGCCUUAUUUUGCAUUUUCUUAGUGUCGUCUUUGACUAAGGAGGAAGGGUCAGCAAUGAAUGGUGCCUUUAACCUUUCCCAUGC